CCACCUGGCUACGCCACUGGGUGGGCUGCGUGCAAAUCUCUCUGAAGCUUGUCAAAUUUUGCCCUAAGCAUCUGCUGGAGAUCACUCAAAAACACAGAAAGACACUCUCACUCUCCCCACAUGGUUUUACUGGGCUGCCACAAAACUGUCAGUCUCUGCUGGUUUGAGGAGUGUGGGCAAGAGAUUAGGCAACGGACCUGCUGUUCUAGACUGACUGGACUGGACUCAGAGAAACCAGUCUAAGAACUAAUUAUUUAAAUCUAUUUAAUACUCUAGAAAUUCAGUAUUUCAGGUGCUAGAAGGUUCCUCUUCAGUGUAAAUACCUGCAUGGAGUACACAGGAGGAGUUCACACCAGAAGAAUCAUUGACUUCUAUGCCAAAAAAAUCACACAGGCAGUGCCGAGUGAAAAUAAAAGAGCUUCAGCAAGCGUAUCAGAAGACAAGGGAGGCAAACAGUCGAUCUGGUUCUGCCCCAGAGAAAUGCUGCUUUUAUGAGGCGCUGCAUGCAAUUCUCAGCAGCAACCACAACUACCCCAAAACGCUCUCCGUGGAUACCUCACAGGAGCCCCAGGCAACCUCGAGCAACAAGGAAGAGAACAUUGUUGAUGAGGCAGAGGAGGAGAAUACAAGGCAGGCAAGCGGAGGAUCCAUUCUCCCUGACAGCCAAGAAUGGUUUAACCCUGGAGCCCAUCCUUUAACAGGAGCAAUUGCUGGCAGUGUGUGAUGCCAAGGAAGGCACCUUUGAGGAAACGUUGUCCAUCAGUGCAUCCUCCACACUGGGAUAAAGACUUUCCCGGAUUAGAAGGCGGAAAAAGACGACUCAGGAGGACAUGAUCAGUGAGUUAAUAUGUGCCUCCAAGAGUGACAAGAUGGAGCUCAAAGAACAUGGAGGAUUACACUGUCCAACAAUCUGCAAGUGGACAAGGAGGACAGGAGAGCAUGCGAGGAACAUGAGCGUGAGAUGCAGGACGAGAUGGUGUGGAUUAUGAGGGAGCAAUCAGACAUGUUGAGGCAUCUGGUUGAGGUUCAAGAAAGGCAGCUGGAUGCUAGAGUCCCUCUGCAGCCUAUGUUGAACCUGCUGCCAUCCUGGCCAAGUUCCACAUCCUUCUCCCCCAAACGUCCUAUGAGGCGCUGGGGGGGAGGUUUCAGUAUCCCUUGUGCUCAACACCAGGGGAGGGUAGAAGGAUCAGAAGGUGCCCAUUCCCACUCCUUGGAUUGUUACUGCAGUGCAAAUGUAAGUAAUCUGUCCUUGUUCCUCCCCCCCCCCCCCACACACCAGUGUUAUCAGCUCUUUUGCCCCAGGUUAUCUUACUUUUCUUUGCUAUGUGUGUUUUUGUGCACAAUAAAAUUUAAGGGAUUGA